rnacentral:tRNA from 1 species
GGAGCCCAGUGGUAGAGCACUUGCCUAGUAUGCAUGAAAUCCUGGGUUCAAUCCCCAGC